UUACUGCUGAGAUGUCACUGUUGAGGCCACUGGAUAAGCUGCCCAGCCUGAACACAGCCACCAUUAUGCUGGUGGGCACGGAGGAUGCUCUUCUGCAGCAGCUGGUGGACUCGAUGCUCAAGGAGGACUGCGCCUCCGAGCUGAAGGUCCACUUGGCAAAGUCCGUCCCUUUGCCCUCCAGUGUGAAUCGGCCCCGAAUUGACCUGAUCGUGUCUGUGGUUAAUCUUCACAUCAAAUACAGCCUCCAGAACACAGAGGAGUCCCUGCACCAUGUGGAUGCCAGCUUCUUCUUGGGGAAGGUGUAUUUCUUCGCCACAGGCGUUGGACAGGAGAGCCACUGCAGCAUUCACCAGCACACAGUGGUGAAGCUGGUCCACACCUACCAAAGCCCCCUGCUCUACUGUGACCUGGAGGUGGAAGGCUUUCGGGCCACCAUGGCACAGCACCUGGUGUGCAUGCUGCAGAUGUGCGACGGCCACGUGCCUGGUGUCUCGGCUCUGAACCUGCUGUCCUUGCUGAGAAGCUCUGAGGGCCCCUCCCUGGAGAACAUGUGAGGGCAGCUGGCCCUGGGCUGCCCCUCCCCAUGGCUUCUUGCUGACUCCAUACACAUUCUCUGUUGAGGAUGUUGAGGGCUUGACAGGCCCCGGCUCAGCCCUCAGCGGUUGGGCAGGUUCCCUGCAGUGCCCAUGCUCUAGCAGGGAGAGCUGGGCAGAAGCAGCAAAGGGCCCAGCUGAUGGGACUCCAGUCCCCUCCCUCUCCCACGCUCACUC